rnacentral:lncRNA from 1 species
UGUUACAUACACCUCUGCCCAGCACCUGAGUGAUUUGACUCUUCUGCUUGGGCCCAGCGUACAGAUGGGAUUGUGCCGCAUUGCUGGACCCAGCACUUAGGUGAUGACAGAAUUGUAACAUAUCCCUGGCUGAGCACUCAGGUGAUGUGACACUCCUGCUUGGCUUCUUCCCUCAGAGAAGAUUAUGAGAUAUCCAUGGCUGAAAUCCAGGGGGAAUUGUGACAUAUCACUUGGCCCAGUACCAAGCAGGUGUGACUCUUCUAUUCAUCAUAAGUCCUGCUUUCAAGGGAGAUUGGGACAUAUUGUGGGGCUCAACACCAAUGUGACAUUACUGUUUUGCCUUGGCCCAGACCUUAAAGGCACUGUGACGUAUUGCUCGGCUCAGCAACAAGGUGACGAGAGAUCCUGUGUGGACAUUGACAACAGACAGCAUUGUGACAUAUCUUUGGGAGCAUCAGCUAUUUGAUGUGACUCUCCUUUUAUACCAAGGCUUUGCUCAUAGGGGAGAUCGUGAUGUAUCUUCUGGCCCAGAAAUCAGGCAAUGUGUUUCUCCUGCCUGAGCUUUGCUCACAGGGAGCAUUGUGACAUAUCACUGAGCCCAGCACCCAGGUGAUGGGACUCUACUGCCUGUCCCCUGCUUUCAGGAGGAAAUUGUAACAUAUCUCUGACCAAGCACCCAGGUGAUAAGUCUUCUGCCUGGUGCCUGUUCUCAGGGAAGAUUGUGACAUAUCCCUGGCCCAGCACC